UACGGAGGGGGCUAGCGUUGUUCGGAAUUACUGGGCGUAAAGCGUACGUAGGCGGCUUUGUAAGUUAGAGGUGAAAGCCCGGGGCUCAACCCCGGAGUUGCCUUUAAGACUGCAUCGCUUGAAUCGCGGAGAGGUGAGUGGAAUUCCGAGUGUAGAGGUGAAAUUCGUAGAUAUUCGGAAGAACACCAGUGGCGAAGGCGGCUCACUGGACGCGUAUUGACGCUGAGGUACGAAAGCGUGGGGAGCAAACAGG
rnacentral:rRNA from 1 species